rnacentral:tRNA from 1 species
UCCGCGGUAGCUCAGAGUGUUGAAGGUACCUCUUCAACCGGCAGAGCCGCCAGCCGAGAAGCUGGCAGGUCGGUGGUUCAAGUCCACCCCGCGGAACCA